UUUGAACUGUUGAUAUAUAUAUACAUUAUUAAUAAAUUUACAGAGUUCAAGUAUUUUGGAUUUUUGUCUUGAGACAAAUAAUUUAGACUGAACUCCAAGUCAUACCAUUUUUGAAAUAGUUUAGUGUAAGUCUUCUCUUCAUAUAAAUGUUAAAUAACUAUCUGUCAUAUUUUAAAGCGAAUUCAUUAAUUUCAGGUAUUGGUGAAAAAAAUAUAUGAAAAUUUGAUUUCAUGGUUUUAAUAUAUUCUGCAUACAAGCCUAUUCUAAAAUUGCAUUUUGUGUAAAUCAUGUUUAACCUCAAACCACAAAAGCCAUUAUGAAUAUUCAUAAAUUCAUGGUAUCAAAUAGUUCAUAAACAGUUAUAUGUAUAUAUAUAUCAGAGAAAUAUUAAUUUAAAUAAAUAUCUUUUUUAAAGUACAUAAUAUUUUCUACAAUUUGUUAGUUUCUAGAUUUAAGAAAAGUAAUUAAUUGACCAUUUUAUAUACAAAUAAUAACAAUAUACUGACUACAAUAAUACUAAUCUUACUUAAAGACUAGUAUGGUUAUCAUUAAAAAACUAAAAUUGAAUGCAAUGUUAUAUGUAUUUCAGGCAGACAUGGAUUUUUUGGGUGACCAUGAAAUUCAUUUGAAAAAGAAAAAAACUUCAACAUUACAUUGGUUUUGUUACUAAUUAGUAGGGGUAAACAUCACUAUAAUUGUUAUAUGAUUUUCAUAUCUACAAAUACUUGAAUUGGAUUGGUCCGUUAGCAUUUUUCCCUUGGUUUACACUUCAAUAGACCAUGUUGCUGAAACUAUUUUCGUAACUAACAUUGUGAUCUAUUCAUGCGCAAUACAUACACAUGGGAUCAAGGGGUUCAAGCAAAUUGAGAUUUAUUAAAAAACAAAUACAUAACUGUUACUUCUUUUUCAAUGGAAAUGUAUAAAUAUACUAUAAAUAAAAUGCAGUGAAUUUUCAUCAUUGAGCUUGGCUCAUUAACGUCACGGGGCAGAUUGACAUCAUACGAAUAAAAACUCUCAAGAGGAAGAUUAUUUUGUUUCUUGUUUGAUUCAAAUUUAAAAUAAAAUAUCUCAUUAAAAUGAAGCUUUUGAGGUAGGUGUUAUUUUAUUCUAGAUUCUAUUGCAUUAAUUGAACAUUAAGGGAUUAAAGAUAGCCAAUAUGGCGGAUACAAAAUGUCAAUAGCACAUUUGAUGGUAAAUAGUAGCCAAUGUACCAAAAAUUGUUAAUUAAAAAUUGGAAAUGUUUGGAUUAAGAAUUAUAAGGAUUAAACACAUUUUCUGUAGAAUGCAUUGAUGUGUAAACUGAGUUGCUGACUAUCAAGCUUUUACAUAAAAGUCCUUUGGUUUUAUUCAGUUUGCCAGUCAAUCGCCCCAGUUUACACAUUAAUUACCUUUAUCAUAUAACGUUCCAUUUGAAUCCUCAGAUUCAUCAUCAAAAUGUUCUUGUAAAAGAAAUUGGAAACUACAGGCAUUGAACAUUUAUAUAUCCUGUAACUGUAUAAUACUAACAUAAACUUUUCUCAAAAUGAAGUAAAAAUUUAUAACAUCAAUAAA
rnacentral:lncRNA from 1 species